rnacentral:rRNA from 1 species
AUACGUAGGGGGCGAGCGUUGUCCGGAAUGAUUGGGCGUAAAGGGCGCGUAGGCGGCGCGGUAAGUCUGGAGUGAAAGUCCUGCUUUCAAGGUGGGAAUUGCUUUGGAUACUGCCGCGCUUGAGUGCAGGAGAGGUUAUCGGAAUUCCCGGUGUAGCGGUGAAAUGCGUAGAGAUCGGGAGGAACACCAGUGGCGAAGGCGGAUAACAGGGCUACAACGGACGUUGAGGCUAGAAAGUGCGGGGAGCAAAAAGGCUUAGAUACCCGGGUAGUCCACGCUGUAAACGAUGAAUUCUACGUGUAAGUGGUAUCGACCCCUUCUGUCCCGGAGUCAACACAAUAAGCAUUACGCCUGGGGACUUCGGCCGCACGGUUGAAACUCAAAUGAAUUGACUGGG